AGGAGGAACAACCACAGUGGCGGCGGCCAGCUCUGGAGCCCUGGAGUCAGCUCCCACAGUAACCACCGCAGCUCCCAGUCUGCAGGGGCCUGGAUGCUCCAGGGGUGG
rnacentral:pre_miRNA from 1 species